rnacentral:lncRNA from 1 species
GAUUCGAUAGACAGCUUAUUGGGAUAGAUGUAGAUAAACAACGCCCCCCCCUAGAAACGUAUAGGAGGUUUUCUUCCUCAUACGGCUCGAGAAAAAUGAUUCGAAUUUCUGUCGAUAAUAAUAGAAAUUAGACUAUGACGUCCAUUAAUUUCCUUACAGAAAAAAACAAAUUUCAUUUAUACUCAUGACUCAAGUUGGCUAAUUCUGCCUGAGAAACUUCGAAGGCAAAAUCCUUCMAAAAAUUUUUGAGUCGUCUUUAAACUCUUUUCUUUGUCUCAUUUCGAACGAAUUGACUUUUAUUCCUUAUUCUGAUCCAA